rnacentral:lncRNA from 1 species
GGGAUUGGAAACGGGCCGUAGCAACAGGAAAAUGCUAGUUGAUAGUACCGUAAAUAAUUUCUCUAAUUACUCAUAUGUAAAAUUAAAAUGGCUGAAAGUUGAAAAAGGUAACCCUUCAAUAAUGUUGAGAGACAUUCUUCCUGUUUGCCCAAGCUCUCUGCUGUAGCAACGUAUCUGUUUGCAGUUUAAAUUCAGUGUUUUAUGAAUUAGCAAUCAUUGUUGAUCACAUUUACUAUAUUUAGUUCUAUAUUUUGAUUUGUACAACCUA